GGGAGGUGCACUGCUGUUCUCAAUUCAUCUGAUUAUCACUACAAAAUGACAACACCUUUCAACAAUUUGAGGAGUGCGGUAAUAUUUUACAGCAACACUUAUGCGUUCUUAAGGCAGAUGGCCUGAGAUUUGAUCUACAAUAUUUAUACAGAGGAGUUCUUGCCUCACUUGGUGACUCCAAAGUUCCCAGGUCCUUUGUCUGCAAAACAAGCCCAAAUCAUCACCCCUCCACCACCGUGUUUGACAUCUGACCCUGUCGCACAGUCCAGUUGGGAGGAGGAAAGAUGACUUUGUCUGGCCGAGAAACACUGCAAACGGCACAGUCACAAGGUUAUCUUGGCUGGAAUGAAGUAUAAAUUGACAGGAAAUGUAGUGAAAGAGAUCAGGGGAAUGGCAUGCACCAAAGGUCCAGAUGGCCAUCUGAACUAGUUGUAUUUGAUGAGAAGCUAGAAUGAGACUCAAGAGAAAGAUUCAGAAAGCAGGGAAAAGGCUCGUUGCUACCACUUUUUUACCCCUCCUGGAUAACGUGAUAUAAUUUACAUGAUAUCACGGGACACUAAGAUUUCUAACUGGUUGUAAACCUUUACCACGUCACUGUACUUCUGUUCUCUGGCUGACUGCUUCCCACUGGCCUUACACAGUAUACGGUAUACACGGUAUAAUUUUAUCUAUAAAUCUAUUUGUGGUUUACUCCCCUCUUAUUUAUCAGAUUCUUACAGAACUUGGAAAGAAGGCAUUCUUGUUUUCUGCCAAUCCUCAUUGAAUGCAUUACAGAAGGACUCGCAGCUCUCUCAGUUAAAUCAUCACUAUGUGAACUUGUUCCUGUUUUUGAAAUGACUGUGUAAACAUUAGGCUAUUCUUUGUUGUCGCAAUUUUAUUAUUGUUGUAAUUUUAAUGUUUGUCUGAAACAGGUCUCUCUUGUAAAUGAUACAUUGAGUCUCAGUGGGAGAGAGACUCUGUAUAAAUAAAGGUCAAAUAAAA